CCCUUGGUGGCGCAGUGGCUAGCACUGCCGCCUCACGGCAAGAAGUUUGCAGGUUCAAAUCCGGCCUGAGGCC